GAUGAACGCUGGCGGCGUGCCUAAUACAUGCAAGUCGAGCGAACAGACGAGGAGCUUGCUCCUCUGACGUUAGCGGCGGACGGGUGAGUAACACGUGGAUAACCCACCUAUAAGACUGGGAUCACUUCGGGAAACCGGAGCUAAUACCGGAUAAUAUAUUGAACCGCAUGGUUCAAUAGUGAAAGACGGUUUUGCUGUCACUUAUAGAUGGAUCCGCGCCGCAUUAGCUAGUUGGUAAGGUAACGGCUUACCAAGGCAACGAUGCGUAGCCGACCUGAGAGGGUGAUCGGCCACACUGGAACUGAGACACGGUCCAGACUCCUACGGGAGGCAGCAGUAGGGAAUCUUCCGCAAUGGGCGAAAGCCUGACGGAGCAACGCCGCGUGAGUGAUGAAGGUGUUCGGAUCGUAAAACUCUGUUAUUAGGGAAGAACAAAUGUGUAAGUAGCUGUGCACGUCUUGACGGUACCUGAUCAAAAAGCCACGGCUAACUACGUG
rnacentral:rRNA from 1 species